rnacentral:rRNA from 2 species
AAAUUGAAGAGUUUGAUCAUGGCUCAGAUUGAACGCUGGCGGCAGGCCUAACACAUGCAAGUCGAACGGUAACAGGAAGCAGCUUGCUGCUUUGCUGACGAGUGGCGGACGGGUGAGUAAUGUCUGGGAAACUGCCUGAUGGAGGGGGAUAACUACUGGAAACGGUGGCUAAUACCGCAUAACGUCGCAAGACCAAAGAGGGGGACCUUCGGGCCUCUUGCCAUCAGAUGUGCCCAGAUGGGAUUAGCUUGUUGGUGAGGUAACGGCUCACCAAGGCGACGAUCCCUAGCUGGUCUGAGAGGAUGACCAGCCACACUGGAACUGAGACACGGUCCAGACUCCUACGGGAGGCAGCAGUGGGGAAUAUUGCACAAUGGGCGCAAGCCUGAUGCAGCCAUGCCGCGUGUAUGAAGAAGGCCUUCGGGUUGUAAAGUACUUUCAGCGGGGAGGAAGGUGUUGUGGUUAAUAACCGCAGCAAUUGACGUUACCCGCAGAAGAAGCACCGGCUAACUCCGUGCCAGCAGCCGCGGUAAUACGGAGGGUGCAAGCGUUAAUCGGAAUUACUGGGCGUAAAGCGCACGCAGGCGGUCUGUCAAGUCGGAUGUGAAAUCCCCGGGCUCAACCUGGGAACUGCAUUCGAAACUGGCAGGCUUGAGUCUUGUAGAGGGGGGUAGAAUUCCAGGUGUAGCGGUGAAAUGCGUAGAGAUCUGGA